AGCCCAGUUCAUUAACCGGCCGCAUACAGCUAGACCAGUGGGCCAGGCCUAUUGGCCGUUGCGGCCUCUAACUCUUCGGGGGCUAUAAAAGCUUCGCACGUCCUUCCUCAGCGAUAGGGUUUUCUGUACCCACGUUGAUGCCGCCGGAGAGGGGCGUCGCAGUUCAUCCCCGAAGCCAGGUACAGUGGAGUUGCCCAACUGUACUUAGGGAUUCGUGAGCGAAUCAAUAUGAAUAAGACUACUAGGAGCAGGGAGCUUGGUGUUAUUCAGGGUUGGGGUAACUGAAAAUGUUAUGUAAUAUAUAAUUUUAGAAGCUCUGUACUGUUCCAACUUCAUGAAUAAUGUUAUGACACUAGUAAAUGAAACUAUUUAUUUUUAUUAUGAAAUUUUAAA